rnacentral:rRNA from 1 species
CCCUUAGAUGUUCUGGGCUGCACCCGUGCUACACUGGCAGGUUCAGCGAGCUUCAUGCCCUGAUCUGAAAGGAAUGGGAAAUCUUUUCAAAACCUGCCGUGCUUGGGAUAGAUGUUUGCAAUUAUUCAUCUUCAACGAGGAUUGCCUCGUAAGCGCACGUCAUCAGCGUGCAUUGAAUACGACCCUGUAUUCUGUACACACCGCCCGUCGCUCCUACCGAUUGAAGUUUUCGGUGAGUUGACAGGAGGAUUUUUUUGAAACUGGUUCGCCAGUGGAUUUUAGAUCCAAAUGCCAACGAAUCGAUGGCUUUAGAGGAAGGAGAAGUCGUAACA